rnacentral:misc_RNA from 1 species
GGGGGGUGGUGGUGGUGUUUAGCUGGACUACUAUUCUUAAGAUUGAGUGAAGGAAAAAGACGACAAAGGGGAGAAAAGGACUGCUGGAAUUGAUAAGAUUCUAUUUUUAAAGGAGAGUGUUAUUGAAAGUCAAUAUGGAUUAUAUAUUUUCCUAAAUAGUGCAAGUAGAGUAAUCAUAGAAGAUUUGCAUAGAAAUAUGCAACCUUCUAUUUACAGAAACAGUAAAAAAGUAAAGAUGUAGCCCUUUGAUUUCUUUUUUUUCUCUUCCCUUUAUUUUUCUUCUUUUUAUUCUUAAAU